rnacentral:tRNA from 1 species
GAAUCGAUAGCUCAAGCGGCAGAGCACCCGGCUCUUACCCGGGAGGUUGCGAGGUCGGUACUCGCUCGAUUCACCA